rnacentral:rRNA from 1 species
AUUGAACGCUGGCGGCAUGCCUUACACAUGCAAGUCGAACGGCAGCACGGGUGCUUGCACCUGGUGGCGAGUGGCGAACGGGUGAGUAAUACAUCGGAACGUACCUUAUCGUGGGGGAUAACGCAGCGAAAGUUGCGCUAAUACCGCAUACGCCCUGAGGGGGAAAGCGGGGGACCGUAAGGCCUCGCGCGAUUAGAUCGGCCGAUGUCUGAUUAGCUUGUUGGUGAGGUAAAAGCUCACCAAGGCGAUGAUCAGUAGCUGGUCUGAGAGGACGAUCAGCCACACUGGGACUGAGACACGGCCCAGACUCCUACGGGAGGCAGCAGUGGGGAAUUUUGGACAAUGGGGGCAACCCUGAUCCAGCAAUGCCGCGUGAGUGAAGAAGGCCUUCGGGUUGUAAAGCUCUUUUGUCAGGGAAGAAACAGCAGCUCUAACACAGUCUGCGAAUGACGGUACCUGAAGAAUAAGCACCGGCUAACUACGUGCCAGCAGCCGCAGUAACAC